rnacentral:rRNA from 1 species
GGGAAGAUUCUAUCGGUAUGGGAUGGGGUCGCGUCCUAUCAGGUAGUCGGCGGGGUAACGGCCCACCGAGCCUACGACGGGUAGCCGGCCUGAGAGGGCGACCGGCCACAUUGGGACUGAGAUACGGCCCAGACUCCUACGGGAGGCAGCAGUGGGGAAUAUUGCACAAUGGGCGCAAGCCUGAUGCAGCGACGCCGCGUGCGGGAUGACGGCCUUCGGGUUGUAAACCGCUUUUGACUGGGAGCAAGCCCUUCGGGGUGAGUGUACCUUUCGAAUAAGCACCGGCUAACUACGUGCCAGCAGCCGCGGUAAUACGUAGGGUGCAAGCGUUAUCCGGAAUUAUUGGGCGUAAAGGGCUCGUAGGCGGUUCGUCGCGUCCGGUGUGAAAGUCCAUCGCUUAACGGUGGAUCCGCGCCGGGUACGGGCGGGCUUGGGUGCGGUAGGGGAGACUGGAAUUCCCGGUGUAACGGUGG